GAGGUGGGACUAAGAGAAGAAACCAG
rnacentral:piRNA from 1 species